rnacentral:rRNA from 1 species
GCGAGUGGCGGACGGGUGAGGAAUACAUCGGAAUCUACUCUUUCGUGGGGGAUAACGUAGGGAAACUUACGCUAAUACCGCAUACGACCUACGGGUGAAAGCGGAGGACCUUCGGGCUUCGCGCGAUUGAAUGAGCCGAUGUCGGAUUAGCUAGUUGGCGGGGUAAAGGCCCACCAAGGCGACGAUCCAUAGCGGGUCUGAG